UCUUCACCACAAAUGACCUCCUUAUUGGCCACUGCUCCUGACGUCAUGUCGAAAUAAAGUUCCUGAUUGGCCAAUAUUUUUCGAGCAUUAUUUCCGUGUGAGGGAAAGAUCGUGCGGUGACGUCAGAGGGAAGUCGGCCACUGAGUGUCAGCCAGGCCGGGGGACACCUACCAUCACGACCCUACUACCUGCUGCUGACCCCGCCUGACACCAUCCCUUCAGGUUAUACUAACUCCCUCCAGAAGGGCACUUGUCACUAAAAGGAGUAUCUGUCCUUCCUCGCUAUGGCAAAGACAAACGAGAACACGGAACACCCGAUGACAAGAGGCAGUAGCGUGGUGGUGCUCGGCCUGCUGGGGGAGAGUGUGAGGCAGAGCU